UUGCUUUAGCAGUACAUAUAUUAAAAUUGGAAUGAAAAAGAGAAGAUUAGCAUGGUCCCAGUGGAAGAAUGACAUGCAAAUUCGUGAAGCUUUCCAUUUUUUU